rnacentral:rRNA from 1 species
GGUUAAAACGCUCGUAGUUGGAUAUCUGCUGAAUGCCCCCGGUCCAUCCUAGUGGUGCGUACUCGGUCUGUGUUUAGCACUUUUCUGGGGACUGCGUUCGCACUUCACUGUGUGGCGCAUGAUCUAGUACUUUUACUUUGAGGAAAUGAGAGUGUUUCAAGCAGGCGUUAGUUUUGAAUACGUUAGCAUGGAAUAAUAGCAUGGGACCUCGUUCUGGAGUUGUUGGUUUUUGGAGCGAUGUAAUCAAAAUAGGGGUAGCUGGGGGCAUUCGUAUUUAACUGUCAGAGGUGAAAUUCUUGGAUUUUUUAAAGACGAACUACUGCGAAAGCAUCUGCCCAGGAUGUUUUUAUUAAUCAAGAACGAAAGUUAGGGGAUCGAAGACGAUCAGAUACCGUCCUAGUCUUAACCAUAAACUAUGCCGACUAGAGAUUGGGGCUGUCAGAUUUU